UACGAAGGGGGCUAGCGUUGCUCGGAAUUACUGGGCGUAAAGGGCGCGUAGGCGGCCGAUCAAGUCAGGCGUGAAAUUCCCGGGCUCAACCUGGGGGCUGCGCUUGAGACUGGUUGCUAGAGGCCGAGAGAGGGUGGUGGAAUUCCCAGUGUAGAGGUGAAAUUCGUAGAUAUUGGGGAAGAACACCGGUGGCGAAGGCGGCCACCUGGCUCGGUACGUGACGCUGAGGCGCGACAGCGUGGGGAGCAAACAGG
rnacentral:rRNA from 1 species